rnacentral:misc_RNA from 1 species
AUUGAGCUGGCUCUUCUUGGUCACGACCCUUGGUUCCUGUGUUGCCUUCCCCAUCGUAUGGAAAAAUUCUUAANACRGCCCCGCACCUGUCCUCCUUGUGGCUCUGCGGCUGCAAUGCGGGCCUCGAAAGCAGUCCCCGUGUCCCGGACAUAUCCUCUGACUCUCGUCGUGGCUGUCUCGGUCCACAGGACAACUGCUCGUGCUCCCGGAUGUGGAAAAUUAANCGGACGUGGGGGGGUCUCGGCCUCCGGUUGCUCCAAUCAAGUCCCUCGAUAAGAAUGACUCUCGCUACCCCAUCGACCGCGGGCCGUCCAGGCCCGUGGCAUUGAUGCKGGUCCGAAGUCGAUAAAGAAUGCUACCUGGUUGAUCCUGCCAGUAGUCAUAUGCUUGUCUCAAAGAUUAAGCCAUGCAUGUGUAAGUA